UAGGGAAUCUUCGGCAAUGGGGGGAACCCUGACCGAGCAACGCCGCGUGAGUGAAGAAGGUUUUCGGAUCGUAAAGCUCUGUUGUUAAGGAAGAACGAGCGUGAGAAUGGAAAGUUCAUACUGUGACGGUACUUAACCAGAAAGGGACGGCUAACUACGUGCCAGCAGCCGCGGUAAUACGUAGGUCCCGAGCGUUGUCCGGAUUUAUUGGGCGUAAAGCGAGCGCAGGCGGUUAGAUAAGUCUGAAGUUAAAGGCAGUGGCUCAACCAUUGUAGGCUUUGGAAACUGUUUAACUUGAGUGCAGAAGAGGAGAGUGGAAUUCCAUGUGUAGCGGUGAAAUGCGAAGAUAUAUGGAGGAACACCGGUGGCGAAAGCGGCUCUCUAGUCUGUAACUGACGCUGAGGCUCGAAAGCGUGGGGGGCGAACAGG
rnacentral:rRNA from 1 species